AUGCCUGUCUUUAUGGCACAGUGUGAGCCUGGUGCCCGAUUUGCUGCUUUUCUCCCCCUUUUAUUUUGCUGCUGCACCUUCCUGACCUGGUUAGGUGGGAACACACCCCAGUUCAGGGGCAUUUCUUCCUAUCCUUGCUUUUUAGGGGAGGCUUGGUGCAUCCCCAGCAGUAGAGGUGCACCAGGAGCUGUGCAAAUGCCAAGCACUUUAAGGCACAAGCAUUUCAAAAUGGAAUUUCUCAUCAGUGCCUGCUGCUUUUUAAACAUGACCCUGGAGUGCUUCUGGGAGAGCAGGAAGCCAUGGAGGAGAAGCAGCUCCUUGGGGCAGGACCAGAGAAUCCUUCUACAUGGACCGCGCAAUCUGGCUCCUCCUUACCAAGUUAAGCACCAAGUUUUGCAGUGCCAGCUGGCUGCUGUAAUUGGCUCUCUCGUGGCGUUAUUCACAGCUCUUCCCUCUUUCUUUCCCAGCUACCUUCCAUCUUGCUUGUUAAAAGCAA
rnacentral:lncRNA from 1 species